GAGGGUAUAGCUGAUGGUAGAGUGCAUGCUUAGCAUGCACAAGGUCCUGGGUUCCAUCCCCAGUGCCUCCA
rnacentral:tRNA from 1 species